rnacentral:ncRNA from 1 species
ACGAUACAAAAAGCGCCAGGACUGCCCAGCGUAGCGGCAGUUGACGAGGAGAAGGAGCAUCGAGUGUUCGGCGGAUGCCUUCCGGCUGAUGACUGCACAGCCGAAAACCUGUUUUUUGAAAUCACAGAGGCGACUCAGUGGACAAAGAAAACAGGACUGCAGCAC